rnacentral:lncRNA from 1 species
AGAGCAUACAGGGCAACCUGCUUGGCUUGUGUGAAUGUCACACCCUCCAUGGAACUGGAACAGUCAAGACAAAUAAUCACUUCGUUCUUUCCACGGAGGUCAGGGAGGACGUCCGCAAGCUCCGGUUGAAAGACAAGCAUGCAGGCCUAAAGGGAGAAGGAGGCAGUGGAUCAGAGGUUCUCGCAGCUUACAUGGGAAAAUACUCUCAAUGCCAAAAGCUUCUAGGACCCGUGAGAGGCUCAGCAGGGUGCUACAGUGCCAGGGAUGAAGAAGAUGGCCACAGGACUCUGGAUGCUGAGUUCCGUGAUGUAGGUGAUUUUGAUGAGGACUUUAGCCCGAGGGGACCCUGUUGACUGACCUGAGGACCGGGCCAUGACUGGAGCAUGGGAAAAAGACAUUUUACAGAGGGAUACUGUCUACUCCCAAUGUGUGUGUUCUCUUAUCAGUCUGGCAGUCGAGUGCCUGGUGGCAGUACCAGUUCUUCUGCUUCACACAACAGCGACUUCAUUUCCUCCUUUAGACAACGCACGUGGGUAUGACUGGCUUGACCUCCUGUACUCCUAAGGGGUUUUCAUUUGUGUGUUUGAGACAAAGUCUUGCUAGGAAGCUCUGACAGGCUAGAGCUCACAGUGUAGAACAACAGGUGAGCCUUGAACUUGCAGCAAUUCUCCUGCCUCUACCUCUCAAGGGCUGAGAUUAUGGUAUAUGCCACCACGUGUGACAUUUAAGAGAAAUCUCAUAAGCUCAGAGUACUGUAAAUAAUCUUGGCUUCUAUUAUGGAUUCAUAUUGCAAAUCAUUUCCCAUAAUGCAUGGGCUACAGAAUGAGUGACAAGCUGUACCGGAGUGUCCUGGUCCAUCAAGUAAGCACCAUGGCCUUGGCUGACAGCCUCUCGGUACUCCUGCCGGGCCUCUUCCUUUUCCUUUAUCUGAAAAAGACAAUUAUCAUGAUGAUUAUGUUGGUUUUGAUUUUUUUGAGGCCACGUCUCACUCUGUCCUAGACUGGCCUGGAACUCAUCAUGUACCCCAGGCUGGCCUUGAGCUUGCAACAAUCCUCUUGCUGAGAUGGCAGGUGAGGUGCCAUGCUCAACUUUGGGAAAGAUUUUUAAACUGCUCGUUAUAGGAAGAGCGACUUCGGACUUUGAUUAGGGAAAUGACACCAGGAUUUAUUAAGGUCCAGAAAAAGCCAGGAAACUAAGUUUAGAUGAGCAAAAAUUUUCAUAAGAGGAACACCAAAGUGUCCUGCCAAGAAAAAAUCCGAACUGAAAAGGCUGACUAGAGAGGCUCCUCCUCAUGCUAGGACCAGACUCAAGUCAGCAGUUGAAAAUGAAAAGUUGGGGACUUAAUGUUAGACGCAACAAAAAUGUUUAUUUCAUUUAUUAUUUUUAAAGUAGUGAUUACUCCUCUCAUUGUUGUUGUUGUUGAGACAGGGUCUUACUAUGUAGCCUUGGUAGACCUGGAGCUCACUGUGUACAACAGGCUGGCCUUGAACUCACAGAGACCUGCCUGCUUCUGCCUCCUGAAUGCUAGGAUUAAAGUUGUGUACUAUUACAUCAGCUCCUUGUUAUUCUUUACCAAUCCAAUUUAUUAAACUGUAAUUUCUUUUAAAACGUG